UCUUGCCCAGGCUGGUCCCAAACUCUUGGGCUCAAGCAGUCCUCCUGCCUCAGCCUGCCAGAGUAUUGGGAUUAUAGGUGUGAGCCACUGCCAGAAAAACGUUUCCUAAGACAAGGCAGGUCUUACAUUAUAUUUAAAUUUUUUUUAAUGAUGUCUUUUUUGGCAGUGCACAGCCAGAGAACAACACAUCACACACAAGAAACAGUUGUGCUCAUGUGAUGGGGGCCUCAGCACUAGGAAGGAGUGGACUGUUGGCGCACGCAGCAGCUUGAAUAAAUCUGAAAGUCACUACGCUGCGUAAGAGAAGCCAAAUAAAGCGCAUGCUGUGUACAGAGGGUGUCGAGAAUGUGUCCUACGUGACGGAAAGCAGAUCCGUGGUUCCCUGCAGACUGGCAGGAGCAGAUUCCAAAGGCACAGGAAGAAGCUUGCAGUACAAAGAUAAAAAUCUAAAGUGGUUGCUGUGGAGGACAGGGGUCAGUGGUGGAAGUGAGACCGAAAUAGACUCUGAAGUAAUAUCUGGACUUUGAAAUUCUUGCCUGUUCACUCUGGCUGGUCAUAUGCAGAAAACCGAAACUAGACCCCUUUCUGACACCUUAUAUAAAAAUUAACUCAAGAUGCAUUAAAGAUUUAAACGUGAGACCUAAAACCAGAAAAAUCCUAGAAGAAAACCUAGGCAAUACCAUUGAGGACAUAAGCAUGGGCAAAGACUUUCAU
rnacentral:lncRNA from 1 species